UCAUGUUCAUAUGUAUUGAUAAUUAACUUAGUUAAUUAAAGUAUUGAAUAAAGUCUGAGCCUUCAUAGACAGUUAUGAUUAUCAAAACUAAGUAGUGCAUGAAAUAAGUAUCAAGAUGUAAAACCGAGGAGAGUGCAAAUGCUUCUGCUGAUGAGUUCAGGUGUUCAGAGGGCACAAGGAAACAAGCUGUAGGGCUCUCUUCUGGAUGGGAGUCAUUUUCCCGCAGGACGAACGCUGCAUCCGAUGGUUUGCACGUGGGGUCGACACUCCACUCGACUCUGGAGGACGACGGCUGAGGAGGGUCCAGAGUCGUCGGCUGCAGCCUCGCUCAGCGCCUCGCUCAGCGCCUCGUCACCGCGCCGUGUUUGUUGCCCGGCUGUUUGCACGCCUCCGCGGGUCAGAGACGGCGUGGGCUGACGGAUGUGUUGCAGGAGGCGCUCUGUGGUCAACAAAGAACAAAGGCGUCACACGCCCAAAGGAUCCCGGGAGACGGGCCGACAGGUGAGGGGUCGGCUCAACGCUCGGCUCUCGACAGGGAGCGACGGGAAAAGGAGGGCGGGACGUCCUCGGUUUGGUGCGCAGACCGGAACAACAUGGAGCCCAGACCCAUGGAGAACCUGUGAUGCUCCGUAACGAGCCCGAGUUUCUAUUCCCUAUGUUCUCAGGAGGCCUUAACUAAGCAAAAACAGAUUUAGGGGGAUUAAAGAGGACCUUUGCACAGACCGCUGGAUCGAAGCAUUAGUUUCAUGGUCUGGAGAGGAGAAAUGAUGCCAGUCAUCAGUCAGGCUGGAUGUAAGCAAGUCAUCCUUAACCCGUUUAUCCUCAUUGUUCACUAUAAUGAUGACAAACGGGCCACAGGCUAAAAAUAACACUGAGUGAUGCAUUGUAGUGGUUCUGAACGGACGAAGGCUCGGGACAUGUGUAGUAUGAUAUGUUGUCAUGACCAGGUUCAUUUACAGGUUGCAAUGAGACGCAUGGACGUAUGUAUGGAGACGUCUGAAGAGGAGAAACUAAAACCUGGAGCUUUGAUUAUCAGCCCCUUGUGAAAUCGACACAUCCUCUGAAAUUGCUGCAUGACUCUACAUGCAUGACCAUCAUUUGUUCUUCCAGGACAGUUGUUCAGAGACAUAAAUUAAUAAGUAUUGUUACAGUAGAAAUGAGUUUUCUAUCUGUGAUGAGAGUGAAAUGAAACCCAGAGGAAGGCGUUCGGUUCAUUCUUAGCUUCGGCGCUAAACAGUCACACGCUCACGUUUAUUUCCUCCGGGUUUUAUUUCACUCUCGUCUCAAAUAGAAACAUUUUUUGGCUUAUCUGUAUUUAAUGAGGCUUUUGUGAGAGGAUGUGUGAGAACCGGCCUCCAGGGAAGGCUUUGGAACACUCGGUGUCCGUCCUCGUCCCGCGUGAGGAGCGCCCCCGCACAGUUCGUGCUCGCAGGUCACGUAGCCUGAAGGACGUUAAAGCAAACAGAAGCACGCUGGCAGGAAAUCUGUACAGAUGGAUAGAAGGA
rnacentral:lncRNA from 1 species